UAGAAGUCAGGUCGGAUUAAGCCAUAGUACGGGAAAAACUAUGCUACCUGUGAGCCCCGUCCAAGGACGUUAAAAGAAGUCAGGCCACUACAAGUGCCAUAGCUUGAGCAAACUAUGCAGCCUGUAGCUCCACCUGGGAAGGUGUAAAAAAUCUGGGAGGCCACAAACCAUGGAAGCUGUACGCAUGGCGUAGUGGACUAGCGGUUAGAGGAGACCCCUCCCUUGCAAGUCGCAGCAACAAUGGGGGCCCAAGGUGAGAUGAAGCUGUAAUCUCACUGGAAGGACUAGAGG
rnacentral:lncRNA from 1 species